AGAGUCGGGUCCUUACGAUGCCACUUGCAGAAUAUCAUCAAUGAAUCAAGCUUAUUCAAGGCAGAUAAGUCAUUUGCGGGCGCUCGAAACAGAUUUGCCAGAAAAAAAUAAUAUUUGAAAACUUUAAUAACCCAACAUAUGCUCCUAGGUCGAAGGCUGAAAAAAAUAGACAGAGUCGGGUCCUUACGAAGCUACUUGCAGACUUUCGUCACUGGAUUAUACAUAUUCAAGGCACAUAAGUCAUUUGCGGGCGCUCAAAACAGAUUUGCCAGAAAAAAAUAAUAUUUGAAAACUUUAAUAACCUAACAUAUGCUCCUAGGUCGAAGGCUGAAAAAAAUAGUCAGAGUCGGGUCCUUACGAUGCCACUUGCAGAAUAUCAUCAAUGAAUCAAGCUCAUUCAAGGCAGAUAAGUCAUUUGCGGGCGCUCGAAACAGAUUUGCCAGAAAAAAAUAAUAUUUGAAAACUUUAAUAACCCAACAUAUGCUCCUAGGUCGAAGGCUGAAAAAAAUAGUCAGAGUCGGGUCCUUACGAUGCCACUUGCAGAAUAUCAUCACUGAAUCAAGCUUAUUCAAGGCAGAUAAGUCAUUUGCGGGCGCUCGAAACAGAUUUGCCAGAAAAAAAUAUUAUUUGAAAACUUUAAUAACCCAACAUAUGCUCCUAGGUCGAAGGCUGAAAAAAAUAGUCAGAGUCGGGUCCUUACGAUGCCACUUGCAGAAUAUCAU